GAUUAUGGCUCAGGAUGAACGCUAGCUACAGGCUUAACACAUGCAAGUCGAGGGGAAACGACAUCGAAAGCUUGCUUCCGAUGGGCGUCGACCGGCGCACGGGUGAGUAACGCGUAUCCAACCUGCCCACCACUUGGGGAUAACCUUGCGAAAGUAAGACUAAUACCCAAUGAUAUCUCUAGAAGACAUCUGAAAGAGAUUAAAGAUUUAUCGGUGAUGGAUGGGGAGUGCGUCUGAUUAG
rnacentral:rRNA from 1 species